GUGUCAGCAGCCGCGGUAAUACGGGGGGAGCAAGCGUUGUUCGGAUUUACUGGGCGUAAAGGGCGCGUAGGCGGCGCAACAAGUCACUUGUGAAAUCUCCGGGCUUAACCCGGAGCGGCCAAGUGAUACUGUCGUGCUAGAGUGCGGAAGGGGCUACUGGAAUUCUCGGUGUAGCGGUGAAAUGCGUAGAUAUCGAGAGGAACACCUGCGGCGAAGGCGGGUAGCUGGGCCGACACUGACGCUGAGGCGCGAAAGCCAGGGGAGCGAACGGGAUUAGAUACCCCGGUAGUCCUGGCCUUAAACGAUGGAUACUUGGUGUCCGGGGUUACAUAGUCCCCGGGUGCCGGCGCUAACGCAUUAAGUAUCCCGCCUGGGGAGUACGGUCGCAAGACUGAAACUCAAAUGAAUUGACGGAG
rnacentral:rRNA from 1 species